CGGAAUGUAUCCAGACUCCAAGGAACAGACAGCGGCCACCAACAGGAAAACUCAGCCCGAAGAUUCGGCGUCUAGGGCUUCCCCAACGGUCUUUCCAUCUUAUUUCUCUCCUCCAAGCUUUCGGUCAUCGGAGUUUCUCACCGGGCGUUGACGGAGAUGAGGUUUUUGAGAAGAUCUAUGUUGAGAGCGCGAGGAUGGAUACUUGGAGGUAGCAGCGGAGUUGGGUACCACAACUUGGCAGGAGAUUUGUUCAAGUAUAGAACUGUGCGCUUUUUUGGCAAGAUCUCCAGGGUGCUUUGCAUCAAUUGGCUGUAAAGCUUCUUUCAACAAUGCCACAUCAAGGCCGUGAUGGACAAGCAAUACCUUCAUUUUAAGUCUACGUGGCUGAAAUCAUUUUGCUCAGGUGAUGGACUCAUGGAAGGUGAUUGACAGUGCUGAUAUAUAUCAUAGACAUUAUCUGCUCACGAGGACUCCCACUUCAAAAGGACAUCUCUCCAUUCAUUAUUCUUUGAUUCAAGAUAUUAAGUUAUUCAACCCCAAUGGAUAUCAAAUUUCAAAUCAAGUGCUUUACUAGCUCUGAUCACAUAAAACCGCCUGGACAAAAUCUAAUCAAGUUGAUGUAUCAACUGGUAGCAGGAGGUACUCAAUCUCACCAAUGUCUCCAUUAAGCCCA